GAAACUUAAAGGAAUUGACGGGACCGCACAAGCGGUGGAUGAUGUGGUUAAUUCGAUGCAACGCGAAAACCUUACCACCUUUGACAUGUACGGAAUCCUUUAGAGAUAGAGGAGUGCUCGAAAGAGAGCCGUAACACAGGUGCUGCAUGGCUGUCGUCAGCUCGUGUCGUGAGAUGUUGGGUUAAGUCCCGCAACGAGCGCAACCCUUGUCAUUAGUUGCUACAUUCAGUUGGGCACUCUAAUGAGACUGCCGGUGACAAACCGGAGGAAGGUGGGGAUGACGUCAAGUCCUCAUGGCCCUUAUAGGUGGGGCUACACACGUCAUACAAUGGAUGGUACAAAGGGUCGCCAACCCGCGAGGGGGAGCCAAUCCCAUAAAGCCAUUCGUAGUCCGGAUCGCAGUCUGCAACUCGACUGCGUGAAGUCGGAAUCGCUAGUAAUCGUGGAUCAGAAUGUCACGGUGAAUACGUUCCCGGGUCUU
rnacentral:rRNA from 1 species